AAUUGAAGAGUUUGAUCAUGGCUCAGAUUGAACGCUGGCGGCAGGCCUAACACAUGCAAGUCGAACGGUAACAGAAAGCAGCUUGCUGCUUUGCUGACGAGUGGCGGACGGGUGAGUAAUGUCUGGGAAACUGCCUGAUGGAGGGGGAUAACUACUGGAAACGGUAGCUAAUACCGCAUAACGUCGCAAGACCAAAGAGGGGGACCUUCGGGCCUCUUGCCAUCGGAUGUGCCCAGAUGGGAUUAGCUUGUUGGUGGGGUAACGGCUCACCAAGGCGACGAUCCCUAGCUGGUCUGAGAGGAUGACCAGCCACACUGGAACUGAGACACGGUCCAGACUCCUACGGGAGGCAGCAGUGGGGAAUAUUGCACAAUGGGCGCAAGCCUGAUGCAGCCAUGCCGCGUGUAUGAAGAAGGCCUUCGGGUUGUAAAGUACUUUCAGCGGGGAGGAAGGGAGUAAAGUUAAUACCUUUGCUCAUUGACGUUACCCGCAGAAGAAGCACCGGCUAACUCCGUGCCAGCAGCCGCGGUAAUACGGAGGGUGCAAGCGUUAAUCGGAAUUACUGGGCGUAAAGCGCACGCAGGCGGUUUGUUAAGUCAGAUGUGAAAUCCCCGGGCUCAACCUGGGAACUGCAUCUGAUACUGGCAAGCUUGAGUCUCGUAGAGGGGGGUAGAAUUCCAGGUGUAGCGGUGAAAUGCGUAGAGAUCUGGAGGAAUACCGGUGGCGAAGGCGGCCCCCUGGACGAAGACUGACGCUCAGGUGCGAAAGCGUGGGGAGCAAACAGGAUUAGAUACCCUGGUAGUCCACGCCGUAAACGAUGUCGACUUGGAGGUUGUGCCCUUGAGGCGUGGCUUCCGGAGCUAACGCGUUAAGUCGACCGCCUGGGGAGUACGGCCGCAAGGUUAAAACUCAAAUGAAUUGACGGGGGCCCGCACAAGCGGUGGAGCAUGUGGUUUAAUUCGAUGCAACGCGAAGAACCUUACCUGGUCUUGACAUCCACGGAAGUUUUCAGAGAUGAGAAUGUGCCUUCGGGAACCGUGAGACAGGUGCUGCAUGGCUGUCGUCAGCUCGUGUUGUGAAAUGUUGGGUUAAGUCCCGCAACGAGCGCAACCCUUAUCCUUUGUUGCCAGCGGUCCGGCCGGGAACUCAAAGGAGACUGCCAGUGAUAAACUGGAGGAAGGUGGGGAUGACGUCAAGUCAUCAUGGCCCUUACGACCAGGGCUACACACGUGCUACAAUGGCGCAUACAAAGAGAAGCGACCUCGCGAGAGCAAGCGGACCUCAUAAAGUGCGUCGUAGUCCGGAUUGGAGUCUGCAACUCGACUCCAUGAAGUCGGAAUCGCUAGUAAUCGUGGAUCAGAAUGCCACGGUGAAUACGUUCCCGGGCCUUGUACACACCGCCCGUCACACCAUGGGAGUGGGUUGCAAAAGAAGUAGGUAGCUUAACCUUCGGGAGGGCGCUUACCACUUUGUGAUUCAUGACUGGGGUGAAGUCGUAACAAGGUAACCGUAGGGGAACCUGCGGUUGGAUCACCUCCUUA
rnacentral:rRNA from 2 species